rnacentral:rRNA from 1 species
AUACAGAGGAUGCGAGCGUUAUCCGGAUUUAUUGGGUUUAAAGGGAGCGUAGGCGGGAGCUUAAGUCAGCGGUUAAAUGGUGCGGCUCAACCGUGCCCUGCCGUUGAAACUGGGUUUCUUGAGAGUGCAAGAGGCGGAUGGCAUUCAUUGUGUAACGGGGAAAUGCUUAGAUAUCAUGAAGAACUCCGAUUGCGAAGGCAGUCCGCUGGGGCACGUCUGACGCUGAUGCUCGAAGGUGCGGGAAUCAAACAGGAUUAGAUACCCUGGUAGUCCGCACGGUAAACGAUGAUUACCCGCUGUCGGCGGUAGACAGUCGGCGGCCAAGCGAAAGCGAUAAGUAAUCCACCUGGGGAGUACGCCGGCAACGGUGAAACUCAAAGGAAUUGACGGGG